rfam:Homo sapiens chromosome 22, GRCh38 reference primary assembly.
GCCAGGUGUGGUGGUGCACGCCUGUAAUCCCAGCUACUCGGGAGGCUGAGGCAGGGGACUUGCUUGAAACCGGGAGGCGGAGGUUGCAGUGAGCUGAGAUCACGCCACUGCACUCCAGCCUGGGCGACAAAGCAAGACUCCGUCUCCA